rnacentral:lncRNA from 11 species
UUUCUAUGUAUUUUAACAGGUAGUUGGUGGGUGACUGUAUAAAGCCCAUCUCACUUGAAUCUUGCUAUUUUAGGUAAUAGGCAACAGUAAUUCAGAUGUAUGGGUCCUCAAUUUCUUGUCUUUUAUCAUGUAAUACAAAUGGACUAAUGCUUAUCGAUACCUGGAAUAGAAUCAGAGAAGAAGAGAACAUGAGGAUGAUCCAUUCAUAUACUGC